AAAACACUAGUAAAAUAUUAUAACACUUCCUUGUCGAGGGAGAAUUGAGGGUUAAAGUCCCCCGUGUUUUG
rnacentral:tRNA from 1 species